GAUGAACGCUGGCGGCGUGCCUAAUACAUGCAAGUCGAGCGAACGGACGAGAAGCUUGCUUCUCUGAUGUUAGCGGCGGACGGGUGAGUAACACGUGGAUAACCUACCUAUAAGACUGGGAUAACUUCGGGAAACCGGAGCUAAUACCGGAUGAUAUUUUGAACCGCAUGGUUCAAAAGUGAAAGACGGUCUUGCUGUCACUUAUAGAUGGAUCCGCGCUGCAUUAGCUAGUUGGUAAGGUAACGGCUUACCAAGGCAACGAUGCGUAGCCGACCUGAGAGGGUGAUCGGCCACACUGGAACUGAGACACGGUCCAGACUCCUACGGGAGGCAGCAGUAGGGAAUCUUCCGCAAUGGUCGAAAGCCUGACGGAGCAACGCCGCGUGAGUGAUGAAGGUCUUCGGAUCGUAAAACUCUGUUAUUAGGGAAGAACAUAUGUGUAAGUAACUGUGCACAUCUUGACGGUACCUAAUCAGAAAGCCACGGCUAACUACGUG
rnacentral:rRNA from 1 species